rnacentral:tRNA from 1 species
UGUCUCAGAUGGUAAAGAAUCUGCCUGCAAUGCAGGAGACCCAGGUUCAAUUCCUGA